rnacentral:rRNA from 1 species
CCUACGGGCGGCAGCAGUCGAGAAUCAUUCACAAUGGGGGAAACCCUGAUGGUGCGACGCCGCGUGGGGGAAUGAAGGUCUUCGGAUUGUAAACCCCUGUCAUGUGGGAGCAAAUUAAAAAGAUAGUACCACAAGAGGAAGAGACGGCUAACUCUGUGCAAGCAGCCGCGGUAAUACAGAGGUCUCAAGCGUUGUUCGGAAUCACUGGGCGUAAAGCGUGCGUAGGCUGUUUCGUAAGUCGUGUGUGAAAGGAGCGGGCUCAAGCCGCGGACGGCACAUGAUACUGCGAGACUAGAGUAAUGGAGGGGGAACCGGAAUUCUUGGUGUAGCAGUGAAAUGCGUAGAUAUCGAGAGGAACACUCGUGGCGAAGGCGGGUUCCUGGACAUUAACUGACGCUGAGGCACGAAGGCCAGGGGAGCGAAAGGGAUUAGAUACCCUGGUAGUC